CGGACGGGUGAGUAACACGUGGAUAACCUACCUAUAAGACUGGGAUAACUUCGGGAAACCGGAGCUAAUACCGGAUAAUAUUUUGAACCGCACGGUUCAAAAGUGAAAGACGGUCUUGCUGUCACUUAUAGAUGGAUCCGCGCUGCAUUAGCUAGUUGGUAAGGUAACGGCUUACCAAGGCAACGAUGCAUAGCCGACCUGGGAGGGUGAUCGGCCACACUGGAACUGAGACACGGUCCAG
rnacentral:rRNA from 1 species